GUGUCUUUUCAAAUCCCUUUCCUUCCCCAUCAUUUCAUUCCAGAGUUCUCUCGCUCUCUUUUCAAAUUUUUGCUUUCAUUCUUUUUUACCUUCGGGUAACCAGAGGCCAAACAAACAUCCCCCAUUUGUUUCUCGAUUCGAUUAUCUCUCUUCAACUUUUUUCUCUCUUUAUUUUUUAGUUUUGGGUUACGAGAGGCCAAAAAAAAAAAAAAAACACAUACGCGCUACAGUAGGAAAACAGUUUUCGUGAGAGAGAUAAACCUAAGUUUUCUCAUUUUAUGUGAUUUUCGAAAUCUCCUGUUUCAUCGUAGACUGAUUUUCAAGUAUGAAUCUUAACUUUGUCUUUUGCCUCCUUACAUCUGUAAAUGUUCUUGUUUUUUUUAAUGUCGGUUCAAAGCUGUUUGAAGAAUCUCAUGUCUUCUAGGAUAGCACCUUAUCAGAAAAAAAAUGGCUUCGAAUUUUGUGUAAUUCAUAUUUUAAGAAGCUUUUGGAAAAUGUUGCCUUCUUUUUGCAGCAAGUGAUUUAAGUAACAUUGAUUUCUAUUUAAUGGAGUUAGCAGUUAGAACUGCAUGAUAAAUAAAUCUACUUAAUUCAUAGACCGUCUACAUUUGUACAAGCAGACAAACUUAAGAUAGGGGAUCCUGCCAAGGAGAAGGAACUAACAAAAUUAAGGUCACUUUUCCUUUUUUAAGCCAUUGGUUAAUGACUUCGGUUUUCAUCGUAUUAGUUUGCAUGAAUUUGAUUCUUUGAACAAUCUUCUUGUGCUGUUUUGGGGUUAAUUCAAAAUUUUCCGAAUCAGUGAAUUAAUGGUUGAUGUGAAAAUUUGAUUAGGACAAUGUGAAAAAGUUAUGUUCUAAUUCUCUGGACUAUCAAGUUUUAGGUAUGUUACGGGAAGCCUACUCUCUGUUUACUGGUAAGUUUAACAAGUAAAGAUAAAUUUAAUCUUGAGUGUUAAAUGAGGUCGAUUUCCUUUAAUCUACAGUUUAUAUAUAUUUAAGGUCAGGGAAUACUUUUCAUUACUUGAACACUUGGCUGUUUUCAUUUAAUCUACAGUUGAUAUAUAUUUAAGGCCACUGUCCUUGUACAAGUGCGGUUUGAUAAAUUUGGAAUUCUGUUUUUGUUUCAGUAAUAUCAGCAGUAUUGACACUGCUUUUCUGGUCUGUUCAGUAAUCCAUACUGAGCUUUAUGUCAUCGGAAACCCACUGCGAAUUUAACCAGUGUUUGUUUCCACUCAAGUUCAUGUCAACAGAAAAUAACAGAGCUGAGGGGUUUUACCUAUGUUUUCUAGCUGAAGUUGGCCUUUACUCUGUGGUUCCAAAAUGGCCAAAUUUAAAAACUAAUGCAAGUUUGUGAAUAAUGCAGGAAUCCACGGUGUGAAUUGAGGGUCCAUCGAUAGUGCUGUAACAACUAGUGUAAAGCCAGAGUCCACUGACAAUGCAGUGACCCCCAAUGUCAAGCCAGAAUCACCUGGGAAGAUCCAAAUCUGCUACUCUGGUUGGUGGUUCUUUGAUUUUCUUCAACCUGAUCAAUGGGCUGAGGAGUCUGCAACUGUAUGAGAACAACUAGGGUGUUUUGAUUUGUUUAUUCAGGAUACAAAGUGCAACUAAUGAUUCUGCGUGUUAUGUAUUAUUUUGAGACUCUUAAACUGUGCGAAGCUCUUAUUCUUAUUUGAAAUAUUCUAAUUUUCUUCAUUUCAUUAAAUGUUCUUGACUUGAUGGUUAAUAGGUUUUCAGUGGACCUGACCAUUGGGCCAAUGAAUUUGGUGCUGAAAGAUUGCGACAAGAGUCUGUCGAUGAUCAAUGGGUCAAUGAAUUCUCAAAGUUGCAUGUUGAUGACUGGGCCGAAGAAUUUGGUUGUCAAGUUGGCGAGGGGGCUUUGGGAGAUAGUUGGUCUGAUAACUGGGCAAAUUCAUAUGAUGAGUUCCUCAGCGGUCGGACGCUUCAAGGGGUGUCUUUGCAUUUUCUGAUAUGAAUCCAUAUGUUGGUCAUCAAAAUCCUUUAAAAGAAGGUCAAGAGCUAUUGAGGAAAGGACUUUUGAGUGAAGCAGUGCUUGCCCUAGAGGCUGAAAUUAUGAAAAAUCCUGAGAAUGCUGAAGGUUGGAGAUUGCUAGGAAUAACCCAUGCUGAAAAUGAUGAUGACCAGAAGGAAUCCAUGGUGUGAAUUGAGGGUCCAUCGAUAGUGCUGUAACAACUAGUGUACAGCCAGAGUCCACUGACAAUGCAGUGGCCCCCAAUGUCAAGCCAGAAUCACCUGGGAAGAUCCAGUUUUCCGUGGACCUGACCAUUGGGCCAAGGAAUUUGGUGCUGAAAGAUUGCGACAAGAGUCUGUCGAUGAUCAAUGGGUCAAUGAAUUCUCAAAGUUGCAUGUUGAUGACUGGGUAGAAGAAUUUGGUCGUCAAGUUGGUGAGGGGGCUUUGGGAGAUAGUUGGUCUGAUAACUGGGCAAAUUCAUAUGAUGAGUUCCUCAGCGGUCGGACGCUUCAAGGGGUGUCUUUGUAUAUUCUGAUAUGAAUCCAUAUGUUGGUCAUCAAAAUCCUUUAAAAGAAGGUCAAGAGCUAUUGAGCAAAGGACUUUUGAGUGAAGCAGUGCUUGCCCUAGAGGCUGAAAUUAUGAAAAAUCCUGAGAAUGCUGAAGGUUGGAGAUUGCUAGGAAUAACCCAUGCUGAAAAUGAUGAUGACCAGCAGGCUAUUGCAGCAAUGAUGCGCGCUCAGGAGGCCGAUCCUACCAAUCUGGAAGUACUUAGGAAAUUAAAAAUUUCAGAACAUUAGCUUUGUGGUUUCGAGGAUAGUGCUACCACUUUUAUUCCCUUCUUUGCUGCGCGGCUGCUGCUGCUACUGUUUCUGUUCGCCUUCAGCAUUCGGCUUGGUUUCUCAACUGCCUAGGCUUUGUUUUAUGAUUGGAUCAAUGGAUUCUGGAAAUUGUGCCAGCAAAAAUUCUCCCAAGUUAAUUAAAAACUGCACAGACGAAACUAAUAGGGUAAUUAUUGAUCCUUCGGCAACUACUAGACAAGGUAAUAAGGAAUCUUCUCUAGGGCCUAUCACCUCUGAUGCGAACAGAGAAAUUGGAGAGUUCCCCUAUAAAUUUAAUUCUCCACCCACCGAAGUGAAGAAAGCACAAAAUCAUCCUCACUUUGAUCCUGAUACCACCAUAAACCAAGAGUCAAUGGUUUCUGUCAACCAUAGUAGUCCUAGAACCCCAAAGGAUGGUAUUUUCGACCCAUUUGCUCCUGGCCCAGAAUGCAUGGUGUUUGCUCCUUCCUACAGGAAAUAUGUUGAUGAAAUGAGGAUAACUGUUGCACGCCGCCUAAAUUUUAACAUCUCUGUUGGAACUGUGGGUUCUGUAAACCAUAGAACUGCUGUAGAUUCUAUUUCAGAUGAAGAAAUGUUUGAGUCUGUUUAUGAAAAUCUCUUGGAAGUUAUCGUUUCAAACCAAGCUGAGGGUUUUCUUACUGAAUUUUCAAAUAUAGAAUGUGAUCUGAUGGUAGUAAGACACCCGCUUCAGCUCCUUGCCUAAAUGGGGUUUCUGAUACUUGCCCUGGUGCUCCUAUUAAACUCACUGGGAGAUCAAGGGUCAUUGAUUUGGGGUUCUGCAGAAAGCUUGAAUUCUAAAACUACACUUAAUGACAUGGCAGGGGAUCUAAUUUGCUCUAUUUGUUUCAACCCUAACAGCAUGCCUCUAGUUAAAGCUUUUGCUUUUUGCAGAUGUCUGUCUGACUUCCGAGAUAACAGAGUAACAUUGUAUAGUUAUUUUCACUUGCAACUAUUUUUUCUUCUUUUUGACAAGGGAUAAUGUUGCACAACGCAUUGUAGCAUGCAUAACAUUGUUCCAGCUAUCAUGUAUCUGGUUCUCUUUGACAGAUAAUCUUUUAUGGUAAUCAAGCUUGAAGAAACCUUUUUACUUUA